UUGGAGGGCAAGUCUGGUGCCAGCAGCCGCGGUAAUUCCAGCUCCAAUAGCGUAUAUUAAAGUUGUUGCAGUUAAAAAGCUCGUAGUUGAAUUUCGGGAUUUGUCAGUUGGUCGGGCUUCACUGUCCGUAUUGACUUGAUGGAUUCUUACCUUCUGAAUAACCAGCAUGCUAUUAAGUUAGUGCGUUGGGGAAGCAGAUCUAUUACCUUGAAAAAAUUAGAGUGCUUAAAGCGAGCUAGUGCUUGAAUAGAUUAGCAUGGAAUAAUAAAAUAGGACGGCAUGGUUCUAUUUUGUUGGUUUCUAGGAUCACCGUAAUGAUUAAUAGGGAUAGUUGGGGGCAUUAGUAUUCAACUGUCAGAGGUGAAAUUCUUGGAUUUAUUGAAGACUAACUUCUGCGAAAGCAAUUUGCCAAGGAUGUUUUCAUUAAUCAAGAACGAAAGUUAGGGGAUCGAAGACGAUCAGAUACCGUCGUAGUCUUAACCAUAAACUAUGCCGACUAGGAAUCGGGACGAUGUUAAUUUUUAAUG
rnacentral:rRNA from 1 species